GUGGGGAAUUUUGGACAAUGGGCGCAAGCCUGAUCCAGCAAUGCCGCGUGCAGGAAGAAGGCCUUCGGGUUGUAAACUGCUUUUGUACGGAACGAAACGGUCCGGGUUAAUACCCUGGGCUAAUGACGGUACCGUAAGAAUAAGCACCGGCUAACUACGUGCCAGCAGCCGCGGUAAUACGUAGGGUGCAAGCGUUAAUCGGAAUUACUGGGCGUAAAGCGUGCGCAGGCGGUUUUGUAAGACAGGCGUGAAAUCCCCGGGCUCAACCUGGGAAUUGCGCUUGUGACUGCAAGGCUGGAGUGAGGCAGAGGGGGAUGGAAUUCCGCGUGUAGCAGUGAAAUGCGUAGAUAUGCGGAGGAACACCGAUGGCGAAGGCAAUCCCCUGGGCCUGCACUGACGCUCAUGCACGAAAGCGUGGGGAGCAAACAGGAUUAGAUACCCUUGUAGUCC
rnacentral:rRNA from 1 species